UGAGUAACCUGCCCUUAACUCUGGGAUAAGCCUGGGAAACUGGGUCUAAUACCGGAUAUGACUCCUCAUCGCAUGGUGGGGGGUGGAAAGCUUUUUGUGGUUUUGGAUGGACUCGCGGCCUAUCAGCUUGUUGGUGAGGUAAUGGCUCACCAAGGCGACGACGGGUAGCCGGCCUGAGAGGGUGACCGGCCACACGUGGGACUGAGACACGGCCCAGACCUCCGUACGGGGAGGCAG
rnacentral:rRNA from 1 species